rfam:Triticum aestivum genome assembly, contig: Triticum_aestivum_CS42_TGACv1_scaffold_220626_3B
AUACUACUCCCUCUGUCCAGAUAAGCUUGUUCCAAGCUUGUCUAUCAAAUGAAUGUAUCUAGCACUAACUUUGUGCUAAAUACAUCCAUUUGAGGGAUAAGCUUUUUCGGACGGAGGGAGUACUAU